CACAGAGUUAAACAAAUGCAACAUGAACAAAAGUAACACAGCUUAAAAUAUUCUACUACAGAGUAGUACAACAUGAUGAGAACAAGAUGAGAAAAUAAAAAAAUAAGGAAAUGAAACCAUCGAGAGAAUAUGUGUGGGUGUUCUCUUCCCUAAAACCCCUCAGAAAAAGUCUUAGCUUAGCUACGCUGUGGACUUUCCCUUUCAGCCCUGGCUGCCGCCUGGAAGCUGGCUCUUCCCAGGCUGCAAUAGGAUUCAAGGUCUGAGCGGCUGCGGGACUGGCAGUGUUUUGUUUACAUAGUUGUUUGUGCACCCACAUGCACACCUGGUGUCCAAGGAGGCCGACCCCG